rnacentral:lncRNA from 1 species
UCUUCCCCGCACUAAAAUUCUCACUAGCAUUAUCUGUAACAACUUGUACAACAUUUUCCUUUCCAAUUUUAUCAGUAGUAUUUCUAAACAAGUUGUACAUUUUGCUUCCAUUCGUAGAAGAGUUGCUAGUAUCGUGAGAUUCAAGAAAAACACUCCCUCUUGGAGAGUUCACCAACACAUUUAUGAUCAUUUUCCCAUUCCGUGCUGUCCACUUAUCCAUCAUAAUGGAACAACCAAACUUGGUCCAUCCCACUUUAUGCUCCUCAAUAAUUUGGUCUACCUUUUUCACCUCCUUUUUAAUAUGAGUUACUCUAACUUCAUGAU